rnacentral:lncRNA from 1 species
AGCGCGGGGGGGUUAGGGUCGCCCCGCCCCGCCCCCGCGGGAAGGUGGCGGCGGCCGCGCACCUGCGGCGGUGACGGACGGACGGACGGACGGACAGACGCGGGGCGGGAGCGCCGGCAGAAGCGGCCCGACGGGGCGCCCCCCUCACCUCUGCCGCGCACCGGCAAGGGGCGGACAACAGCCGCCCCGUGUGGAGAGGGGUGGCUGACAAACUUUAGGAGAGUCACCCCCGCGUGGGCGGGGGCUGCUCUGCGGUGCCCCAUGCGGUAAAGUUUUCCACGCGAGAAGGUUUCCGCAGAGCAGUGUCGGAGCCCCAGGGUGCGCCUCUUUCUCGCGUAAAGCAUCGGGCGGUGGAGCAAACCCGCGUUUGCGGACGCUGUCGCCCCACGCGGGUCACAAACUUUAGGAGGCACGGUCCCGCGGCCGCCCAGCCCGCCGCACGGCGUCCCUCGCCCCGCUCAGUGGCACCGGCUCCGCCGCGCGUCGCGGGGCUGUCAGCAGGAGCCGCGCGGGCAUUUUCCACGUGGGAGGCAGGAAAUAAACAUGAAAUCGAGCAUCAGGUUGCGGCGCGUGGAACAACCGGUGGUACUGAGACACGGGUCUUCGGUGCUGCCGGCCCCGGGCCCCUGCGCAGCACGACCCGAGUUUAGGUCAACUUAACCCUGUCCCAUCCCGCUCCCGACCGGCUCGUAGUGGGGGAAAAAAAAAAAAAAAAAAAAAAAAAAGAUUAAAGAAACCUACAAAAGUGGAUCGCGGCAGGUCUGGGCUGCUAUCCGGACCGAAACCUGUCGGGCGCGCUCUGUCCCGCCUGACCGCGGCUUUCCGCGGCUCGGGACAGGGAGCAUCCGCACCCCUGCCCCGGCUGCUGAGAUUUUCCCGGCCGCUGCCGGCGAGGACGCGAGGCUGAACGAGGGGAAACAGCCUCAGGCUUGCGGACAGCGGGGGAUACACCAGGGAGAGGGAAUAACGUCCUGCGGAGGCCCGGGCAGCAGCGGAGCGCUGCAGGGCGCUCGGCGACAGAGACACCAGGAAGGGUUAGUGCUGCAGGAGACCACAGUGUUGUCUCUGUCCACAGAUCACCAUUUUACUGUCACUUUACUGCACCUGUUUGAGGCCCCUACUUCGGAUCAACUCAUUAUCCCGAAUAAACGAUGUGUCAUUCCCAUUAUUUAUGUUUCACUGCAGCCAAAGUAUCUGGACCUCGUUUUGAUCCAGCUAACGGGUCAAAGCUGCUUUACAUCACCUUGGCUAGUUCCAAAUGAAACCUUCCAAUAAAAGGAUCAUUGCAACACUGCCUGUUGAAAUAUAUUCAGGACAAAACACAUCCAAGGGUUCGCAAGGUGGGGGAGAGGCAGUGGGAGCGCAUUAAGCGCGAGCCGCCAGCCGAGCCGUCACUGCGCGGCUCACGGAACAUCCAUCCUGCCCUGGCUCGGGGGGGCCGUGGGAGACAGCAGCUUCACCAUCCUCACAAGAGAGAGGUUUAUGGCUGGGGUGCUUUUUUUAUUUUAUUUUAUUUUAUUUUAUUUUAUUUUAUUUUAUUUUAUUUUAUUUUAAAAUUUAUUACUAUUUUUCCCCCCCCGAGCUUCAGUUUCCAACGACUUAUUUAGAUGUAAGCAAUGACAGCUGUAAUCAUGUUUUAAAUCUUGCUUUGUAUCCUUAGUUAUAAUGUUGUUCAAUUAAUAUUCAGAAUAAUGGAAGUGAUGUGCCCCUUUGAAAAAGACUUGAAUGCAGGCCAAAGCUUUGGGAAACUGAUUCUCAAGAGGAUUAAUCAGCAUUUAAAACUUGCAUUAAUAAAAAUCUGAUCUUCUACUGUGUAGCA